GCAGUGCCGCUCCAUAGAGGAAGUGGAUCUCUUUCACAACAAGUCAUCAGUAUGUCUACACCUCCUAAUCUUAGUUCAUCCCAGGACACAGGGACGUAACCCUCGGUGUUGGGAUGCAGCUCAGGAAAGCUGCAGGAACACGGGUCUAAAUCUGGAGACGAGGAGGGAAGUGUAUAUCCUCUUCUCAUCCGCCAUGCUCCCUGCUUCCUAAUUACACAUCACAAGCCCCUGCUUGCCUGUCAAUCAGCUGUCUACAGAGCGACAAGCUGUGUCUUCAAACAAGGAAGGAGUAGGACAAUCCGAUCCUUACCUCCCUGGUGUCUAAGUUUGUUGGUGCAGCAGAGGUGUGUGGGUGUGGAGACGGAGAACGCGUUUCAGCUCCGAGCGGUCCUCACAAGCCGGUCUCUGGAGGUCCAGGGUCUAACUCCUGGAAUACUAGAAGCAAGGCAGGAAUGCACCCCGAACAGGAUGAUAAUCCACCUCAGAACUCUAUGCACAGAAGGGAUGUGCAUCUCCAUAACGAAGGCCCAUGGGAUACGCUCGAUGCACAGCCAAUGAUAAGACACUUAUGAAGCAGACACCGAUGCGAUAAAGAUGCAGCUCUACCUCUGCCAUGUUGAUCUAUGUACCAUGUGACUCCAAGGACACGCCUGGAUCUCCGUAGUGUUGUGAUACGCCAUAUUCGCGUAGCAGCAGUGGUGCCGAGAGAACGCGCUCGAGAAACGGUUUAGCGAGGAGAAAUCAAUCCGCAUACAAGGUAUUGUCCACAAACAAACGGUCACUUUCUAAAUGCGUAUAAAUGGUCAGUUUCUAAAUAAGUAUAGCAAAUCUAAUAAUUAUAAAUAAAGAAAUCAGUUUUUACAGAUGCAAAUAUGUUAAAAACAAUGCAAACGCUUGUAACCGAUGCGCACUGGAAUGGUUUCGAAGGGUGGGAGAAAACUUAAAAACAAGACAAAGAAGGGCACAGUGAGAGCAUGCAAAAUUUGCAUGCAAAAAUCUGAGCUCAGGAUCAAAGCAGGAAACUUGUAGCCACGAGGAAGCAAAGCAACCUGCAGCACCAGUGUGUCCCCAAUCGAAUGCUGACGACGUACGAAAGAAUCGGUUACUUUUAAUUAUGUCGUAGAGAUUUGAUGCAUUAUUAAACUUCCCAAAUGCAAACAAAUCAAGACAAUGUAAGAAAUGGGGUGGAGGGAAAAAAAUAUUUUUUCUAUGACAAAAAAAAUAAACCGAUUACAGAAAACGCUGAGCAUUCAAGAACAAUGGUGGGUCACCAAUUUUCUGUGGAUUUGUGGCUAAAAUAAUAACGCUGAACUUUCCUACGCUCAUUUUGACCACACACAUUCCCACCCCAAGUUCUCAACCCCAGGACAGCGUGGUUACAGUGUGAAGGCCAUGGCAGCAAAAUUUACUAAUUGAGCUGGCAGAAACGUUUCUGCCUCGUACUGUGACUCCAGCAGCUCACUUCCAAUGCCAAUUUAACUGAGAACAUAUGCCAAGCUGUUAUGACAGGUCAAUGCCUGAGUGUGCAUGAAAUAAUAAUGAGCAAUUAUGCCAAGAACGAGGGCAAUUACCUUGUGUGUUACCUUGUGUGGUAUAAAUCAGGACUUAAGCGUUUCUUGUUGUUUUAAGGGAUUUCCCUGCUCUAAUGAAAGUGCUUCGGGAUGGGAUGGAGUAGGAGGUAGCUGAGAAGCUGUACGAGAUGUGCUACAGUGCCGGAUGAGAUGAGACGCUAGACUAUCGAGAGCAACGGGGCUCCAUGAAUGGCGCUCAGAAGCCGUUAAAUAAGGAGGCAACAAAGUGCAGAACGACGUAAAUAAAGUCAGCGGGUGUCGUCUUUUCUCUUUCUCUCCUUCUUCGCUCCAGCUGAGUUAAGGAUUCUUUCCUGGAAAAGUCUGUUCGCCCUAAAGACAACAUAAUCCUGCCAUGCACCCUUGAAGUAAAAUAAAUAAAUAAAGCAAAAAAGUUCGGAGGCUUCGAUAUGCAGCAGAUGGAUAACAAUUGUACUUGUGCUGGGAUUCCAACAGCUUUCCUGCUAAACCGUUUCCCAGCACUUCCGGAGUAUUCCGUUAGCUGACGAAGCACCGAUCUUCACUUCACCACACGUCGAAUGGCUUUAGCAAUACCUUUAUUUCGUACGAACAGCAUUGCGACUAUCAAGGAGUUGGUUUCCUUAUCGCUGAACUCGCUAAAUGCUUACAGAAUCCAUAGCCUGUAAAAUUCCUUCCAAAGUGAAUUCAUGCUGAAAUGUACGCCUGGUGAAAUGCUGUCACGAGUGAGCAAUUAAUGGUUAGAUACAUGAAAGAAGAAAGCAUUUGUUACUGUGAGGCUCUAAGUGUAAUGGGAAGCGUAGCUGGAAAUUUUCAAAUGAUGACAAUUAAAAAAAAAAAUAAUAAAAAAAUUUCAACAUUCUAUUCGCAAAGUAAAACAAUUUUAAUAUUAUGGCCAUUUCACAAACUUGCAAAUGCAAAACUCUUAUUCAUGCAGCUGAAUGUACUGUACCUUCCUCGUGGAAUACAAAGAUUGACUAACACUAAAGAUCAACACUAAAAGAACUGUUCCAGCAUGACCAUGUCCCCAAUGCCAUGAAUACAUGUUUGGCGUGAAAGAACUCGAGCCCUGACCUCAACUUUACUAAACAAACCCCAGUGCUCCAAAGAAAAAUACCACGCCCUCGCUCAGAUUUCUAGUAGAAAUCAUUAUAUACUGCAUUUUCAUACCCAAUGCUUUGUUUCCCCUGAAACAAAAAAGCUAAUAUCCCAGUCAUCAUCCCAGAAAGUUUCUCACAUCGGGCUUAAUAUUUACACAUCAAGUCAUACUGAAAGAUUGUAGAAAUCCAAGUAGAUUAACUUUAAGCUUCAAAGUAGUCUAUUGAAAAGAGCCUGCUUUAUUGUCAAGAGACAGCAAGUUCAAAUCCCAUUGUCAGAACUCAAAAAGCUAAACAAAAAAAAGAAUGAGAAGAUCACUGGGAUAGACAUGGAUCAUGAGAAAAUCAUGUAGAUCAUGAGUUCAAUCUAAUUAUACCACCAGGAGCUAAUCUGUGGGUACCUGUAAACUUGUGUAUUUGGAAGAAUGCAGACUGCACUAUCCUCUGGUUAUGUUACACUACUCUGAGAAAGCACAUGUUAACCUUCAUCCUCCUUUUUAUUAGCUGUUGCAUUGAGCUGGUAAGAACUGGGAGGUGACCAUUUGGGAAAAACGAGAGAAAUAUAAAAAGGUUUCUGGCUACUAAAGUUUUUCCUUUAUUUUUAGUCCUUUUCUAUGUAAACACUAGGAUUAUACUGUGCAAUGUGACAGUAUCCCAAUACUACACUCUCACUGUUUCAUACACACCUAAUAAUUGCCAGCACUUCACAAGAACUGGAUCUGUUUUAAUGAUUUUUGUGGGUGACUUUGUUUAGCUUCUCUUCACUAGUGUGUGAAGGUUCAGCCCAUUCCUGUUCCUCUGAUGUUUUAAGAUAGAAGUGAUUUUUAAAUACUUUCCAAAAGGUAUUUUUGCAUUAGGACAGCAAUGGAUCUGUGCUUCCAAUAGAAGAAUAGAAUAGAAUAAAAUCUGCCUGUGUGUGUGUAUGCAUGUGUGUGUGUGUGUGCUUAGAUUACAAAGUGUCAUAAUCCCUAUUUUUCCUUCUCUCUCUCUCUCUCUCUCUCCUUUGUCUUCUCUUUUUGUCUAUAACACUCAGAAGAUGAUGAGGUCCACUUUUCCCCUGCAGAGGAACAUAUGAUGCUUACCUGUAUCUCUGUGUGUGUGUGUGUGUGUGUGUGUGUGUGUGUGUGUGUGUGUGUGUGUGUGUGUGUGUGUGUGCGCGCGCGCAUGCAGUUGUGUGUCUAUGUAUGGAAAGAAAAAAGAUAAAAGAGAGAGUGGCCUAGACAGUAACAUCCACUCAGAGCUGAAUCGUAUUUUCCUUUCAGAACUGUGCUCCUUCAAUGCGAAGGUAUUUUUCAAAUCUCAUAACUAAACACACGUUCAAGUCUGCAAGGACAUAACUGUCGCUGAGGUGGAGGCAGAAUAGUGCAGUUUUGAUUUGCUGAAGUCAAGUCUUUGGUCUGCAGCAGCCUCAAAUAUCGACAGCAAGAACAUUGAAGCGUUUUCAUCAUUAUUACUGCACUUGUUGACUUGUGUGAGAAAUUGACAGAAUCAUAUUUAUUAUAUAUUUUUUUUUAAAUACAAGUAAACAAGGCUUGUUGUAUCCCACUAAUUAUUACUACAUUAUAUUAAAAUACUACUGCAAACAUUUAUAUAAGUCGUGUUCUGCUGAUUUUACACAGAGCAGAGUCUAACUGUUCAUUUGAAUUUCAAGUAUGAAUAUAAAGGAACAGAAAAAACUUUAACUAGUGUUGAAUUCUGAAGGUUUAGUGACUUCAAUGUGUGUGUGUGUGUGUGUGUGUGUGUGUGUGUGUGUGUGUGUGUGUG